CUCGGCCUCAGAUCAGACAAGGCUACCCGCUGAAUUUAAGCAUAUUAAUAAGCGGAGGAAAAGAAACUAACAAGGAUUCCCCCAGUAACGGCGAGUGAAGCGGGAUGAGCUCAAAUUUAAAAUCUCCGUUGCUUGCAACGGCGAAUUGUAGUUUCGAGAAGCGCUUUCUAGGCGGACCGGCUGCGCCUAAGUUGCUUGGAACAGCACGUCAUAGAGGGUGACAACCCCGUCUGUGGCGUAGUCGGCCGCUCACGAUGUGCUUUCGAAGAGUCGGGUUGUUUGGGAAUGCAGCCCAAAAUGGGUGGUAAACUCCAUCUAAAGCUAAAUAUUGGCACGAGACCGAUAGCGAACAAGUACCGUGAGGGAAAGAUGAAAAGGACUUUGGAAAGAGAGUUAAAAAGUACGUGAAACCGUUAAAAGGGAAACGAAUGGAGCUAGCAAUGCACCCAGUGAGAUUCAGCUGGUUGGUGGUUCGGCCACGAUGUUUGCAGAUCUGAAUUGACUGCGGCUUUGUGGUCCGAACUCCCUGCCAUCGCACUUCUCGCGGGUGCGCGUCAACAUGGGUUGGGACCGGGUCUUAAAGGCAACGGCAAGGUAGGUCCGCACCUCCGGGUACGUACUGUUCUAGGCCGGCGCUCUCACGGCCCGGGCCCGACCGAGGCGAUGCAGCACAUGCCUCUUGUGGCUGGGGUCCCGUUCUUCCGGUUGGUUGUCGACUGUGGUGGACUGCGUGCAGUGCACCGCGACUGCUGCCGGUCGCUUGGGCGGUGACUUCGCAUCAUGUGCUUAGGAUGUUGGCGGUCAUAUGGCUUCAUCCGACCCGUCUUGAAACACGGACCAAGGAGUCUACCAUAUGCGCGAGUCUUUGGGUGAUUGAAACCCGCGGGCACAAUGAAAGUGAAGGCGGCUCCGGCCUGCCGAGGUGAGAACCUCCCCUCUCGGGGUGGCGCAUCAUCGACCGACCUAUUCUACUCUUAGGAAGGUUUGAGUAAGAGCGCAUUUGUUGGGACCCGAAAGAUGGUGAACUAUGCCUGAAUAGGGUGAAGCCAGAGGAAACUCUGGUGGAGGCUCGUAGCGAUUCUGACGUGCAAAUCGAUCGUCAAAUUUGGGUAUAGGGGCGAAAGACUAAUCGAACUGUCUAGUAGCUGGUUCCCUCCGAAGUUUCCCUCAGGAUAGCAGGAGCUCUGUGCAGUUUUAUCAGGUAAAGCGAAUGAUUAGAGGUCUUAGGGUUAAAACAACCUUAACCUAUUCUCAAACUUUAAAUUGGUAAGAAGUCCGACUUGCUCGAUUGAAGCCGGACGUGGAAUGCGAGUUCCUAGUGGGCCAUUUUUGGUAAGCAGAACUGGCGAUGCGGGAUGAACCGAACGCCGAGUUAAGGUGCCAAAGUCGACGCUCAUCAGACCCCACAAAAGGUGUUGGUUGCUAUAGACAGCAGGACGGUGGCCAUGGAAGUCGGAAUCCGCUAAGGAGUGUGUAACAACUCACCUGCCGAAGCAACUAGCCCUGAAAAUGG
rnacentral:rRNA from 1 species